CCCUGUGACCAUCAUUGUCGUCUUCACGUUCUCCUCUCCAGUCAACAAUGGCAGACGACGAUGUCAACGACAUUGAUAUGGGGUUAUCUCUGAGUGCGUCAUAAUUAUCAAUACUUCAUAAAAUUGUGAUGAGGUAGAAGGCCAGUUAUUGAGGUCAUUAUAUUCAGCACUGCCCUACAAAUGGUGAUCCAAACUAUGACAUCAAAAGAGUGAAACCACCCACUGGCAUUCCCAAGUCCAUGGUGAUAGCAACCCCAAAUGGCUCAUAUGCACUGCCGAGUGGUGCAGUAGCUGUAUUGAGGCCGAAUGAGGAUGGUUUUGAGAAAGAGAUUGAAGGUUUACCGUCUACGCGUUCUGUUGGUGAUUUACCACCUGAGCUACAUUGCCCC